GACGAACGCUGGCGGCGUGCUUAACACAUGCAAGUCGAACGGAAAGGCCCUGCUUUUGUGGGGUGCUCGAGUGGCGAACGGGUGAGUAACACGUGAGUAACCUGCCCUUGACUUUGGGAUAACUUCAGGAAACUGGGGCUAAUACCGGAUAAGAGCUCCUGCUGCAUGGUGGGGGUUGGAAAGUUUCGGCGGUUGGGGAUGGACUCGCGGCUUAUCAGCUUGUUGGUUGGGUAGUGGCUUACCAAGGCUUUGACGGGUAGCCGGCCUGAGAGGGUGACCGGCCACAUUGGGACUGAGAUACGGCCCAGACUCCUACGGGAGGCAGCAGUGGGGAAUAUUGCACAAUGGGCGGAAGCCUGAUGCAGCAACGCCGCGUGCGGGAUGACGGCCUUCGGGUUGUAAACCGCUUUCGCCUGUGACGAAGCGUGAGUGACGGUAAUGGGUAAAGAAGCACCGGCUAACUACGUG
rnacentral:rRNA from 1 species